rnacentral:misc_RNA from 1 species
GAUGAAGAACGCAGCGAAAUGCGAUAAGUAAUGUGAAUUGCAGAAUUCAGUGAACCAUCGAAUCUUUGAACGCACAUUGCGCCCGGCAGUAAUCUGCCGGGCAUGCCUGUCCGAGCGUCAUUUCUGCCCUCGAGCGAGUCCAGCAUCUAGGUGCUGGGCCCGCCCGGCGUUGGGGCACUACGGGAAGCCCUGUGCUGUCCCCCGUAGGCCCCGAAAUGAAGUGGCGGUCCUGCCGCGGCGCCCCCUGCGUAGUAUAACAGCUCGCUUCGGGACCUGGUGGAGGCCUGCCGUCAAACCUUACUCUCUAAGUUUGACCUCGGAUCAGGUAGGGUUACCCGCUGAACUUAAGCAUAUCAAUAAGCGGAGGA